CACUUAUUUUUCAGGUUCUCUUUUUUUUGUUAUUGCUGGGGGUCAGAGUCCUCAGCAAAUAGUAGCUUCAAUUGUGAGUCCUUUUCCUGGACUUACUGCUUUAUAUAUGCAACUUCCCAGGAUUGUGCUGUUGGCUUGUUGUUUGCUUUACUCCCAGUUUUGGGUGGCAGUAGUGGGUUACUACAUGGAAUGAUUUCAAUGGGAAAAUUGUACGUGGUUCUAUGCUCAAUCUCACUAUUUUCUGCCGAAUCCUUUGAAAACUUGAUUCACG
rnacentral:lncRNA from 1 species